GCAUAUCAAUAAGCGGAGGAAAAGAAACCAACAGGGAUUGCCCUAGUAACGGCGAAGUGAAGCGGCAACAGCUCAAAUUUGAAAUCUGGCUCUUUCAGAGUCCGAGUUGUAAUUUGCAGAGGGCGCUUUGGCUUUGGCAGCGGUCCAAGUUCCUUGGAACAGGACGUCACAGAGGGUGAGAAUCCCGUACGUGGUCGCUAGCUAUUGCCGUGUAAAGCCCCUUCGACGAGUCGAGUUGUUUGGGAAUGCAGCUCUAAAUGGGAGGUAAAUUUCUUCUAAAGCUAAAUAUUGGCCAGAGACCGAUAGCGCACAAGUAGAGUGAUCGAAAGAUGAAAAGCACUUUGGAAAGAGAGUCAAACAGCACGUGAAAUUGUUGAAAGGGAAGCGCUUGCAGCCAGACUUGCUUGCAGUUGCUCAUCCGGGCUUUUGCCCGGUGCACUCUUCUGUAGGCAGGCCAGCAUCAGUUUGGGCGGUGGGAUAAAGGUCUCUGUCACGUACCUCUCUUCGGGGAGGCCUUAUAGGGGAGACGACAUACCACCAGCCUAGACUGAGGUCCGCGCAUCUGCUAGGAUGCUGGCGUAAUGGCUGUAAGCGGCCCGUCUUGAAACACGGACCAAGGAGUCUAACAUCUAUGCGAGUGUUUGGGUGUCAAGCCCGAGCGCGUAAUGAAAGUGAACGGAGGUGGGAACCCGCAAGGGUGCACCAUCGACCGAUCCUGAAGUUUACGGAAGGAUUUGAGUAAGAGCAUGGCUGUUGGGACCCGAAAGAUGGUGAACUAUGCUUGAAUAGGGUGAAGCCAGAGGAAACUCUGGUGGAGGCUCGCAGCGGUUCUGACGUGCAAAUCGAUCGUCAAAUUUGGGCAUAGGGGCGAAAGACUAAUCGAACUAUCUAGUAGCUGGUUCCUGCCGAA
rnacentral:rRNA from 1 species